rnacentral:rRNA from 1 species
UUCCGGUUGAUCCCGCCGGACCUGACUGCUAUCGGAUUGAUACUAAGCCAUGUGAGUCUUUGCAGUAAUGCAAGGCGGACGGCUCAGUAACACGUAGUCAAUCUAACCUAUGGACGGGAAUAAUCUCGGGAAACUGAGAAUAAUACCUGAUAGAUCAUUAUGCCUGGAACGGUUAAUGGUUGAAAUGAAUUUCGCCAUAGGAUGGGACUGCGGCCUAUCAGCUUGUUGGUGAGGUAAAGGCCCACCAAGGCUAUUACAGGUACGGGCUCUGAGAGGAGAAGCCCGGAGAUGGGUACUGAGACACGGACCCAGGUCCUAUGGGGCGCAGCAGGCGAGAAAACUUUGCAAUGUGCGAAAGCACGACAAGGUUAAUCCGAGUGUUUCCUGCUAAAGGAAUCUUUUGUCAGUCAUAAAACCACUAUCGAAUAAGGGGUGGGCAAGUUCUGGUGUCAGCCGCCGCGGUAAAACCAGCACCUCAAGUGGUCAGGAGGUUUAUUGGGCCUAAAGCAUCCGUAGCCUGAUCUAUAAGUUUCCGGUUAAAUCCAUAUGCUCAACAUUUGGGCUGCCGGAAAAACUGUAUAUCUAGGGAGUGGGAGAGGUAGACGGUACUCGGUAGGAAGGGGUAAAAUCCUUUGAUCUAUUGAUGACCACCUGUGGCGAAGGCGGUCUACCAGAACACGUUCGACGGUGAGGGAUGAAAGCUGGGGGAGCAAACCGGAUUAGAUACCCGGGUAGUCCCAGCUGUAAACGAUGCAGACUCAGUGAUGCAUUGGCUUGUGCCCAUGCAGUGCCGCAGGCAG